rnacentral:rRNA from 1 species
GACAGAGGUGCCGAGCGUUAGGCGGAAUCACUGGGCUUAAAGCGUGUGUAGGCGGAUCGUUAAGUGCUUUGUGAAAUCCCACGGCUUAACCGUGGAACUGCUUGGCAUACUGGCGGUCUUGAACAACCUAGGGGCAAGCGGAACAAAUGGUGGAGCGGUGAAAUGCGUAGAUAUCAUUUGGAACGCCAAUGGUGAAAACAGCUUGCUGGGGGUUUGCUGACGCUGAGACACGAAAGCCAGGGGAGCAAACGGG